GUCCAGUCCAAUUGCUGGGACGUGAUAUGCUAUCCAAAUUACAAGCGCAGAUUACGUUCCUACCAAAUGGAACAACAUCCUUAAAGUUUAAUGGACCCUCAGGUAUUAUGACAUUGUCCGUACCAAAGGAAGAAGAGUGGCGACUUUAUACAGUGUUGACUAGCCAAAACCCGAGGAGUGAUGAAUCCUUAUUUAACAUACCAG